rnacentral:rRNA from 1 species
AUUGAACGCUGGCGGCAGGCUUAACACAUGCAAGUCGAGCGGGGUGAUGGUGCUUGCACUAUCACUUAGCGGCGGACGGGUGAGUAAUGCUUAGGAAUCUGCCUAUUAGGGGGGGACAACAUCUCGAAAGGGAUGCUAAUACCGCAUACGUCAUACGGGACAGAGCAGGGGAUCACUUGCGACCUUGCGCUAAUAGAUGAGCCUCAGUCGGAUUAGCUAGUUGGUGGGGUAAAGGCCUACCAAGGCGACGAUCUGUAGCGGGUCUGAGAGGAUGAUCCGCCACACGGGGACUGAGACACGGCCCAGACUCCUACGGGAGGCAGCAGUGGGGAAUAUUGGACAAUGGGGGGAACCCUGAUCCAGCCAUGCCGCGUGUGUGAAGAAGGCCUUAUGGUUGUAAAGCACUUUAAGCGAGGAGGAGGCUCUUUUGGUUAAUACCCAAGAUGAGUGGACGUUACUCGCAGAAUAAGCACCGGCUAACUCUGUGCCAGCCGCCGCGGUAA